GGCUGAAUAGUGUAGAGGUUAUCACAUCAGAUUCUGAAAAGAGAUAUUUCUGAUGACCCCGGUUCGAGUCCGGGUUCGGCCU